GCAGGUAUAUGUUAUAGGUGAGGGCACCGUGGCUGCCACAGGGUGACGCAGUAUGUCAAUACAAUCACCCUGUAACAGAGGCCACUAUAGUAAAGAAAAAGAGUUGGUUCUUUAUUUGAAUCCCUGGGAACGAAUCCCUUCCCACCUACAGGAAAUGCCCUGUGGGACCUGCAAUGUUAUGCCCAUUUGAUGUUAGACUCUUACUGACACCUUGUGGCGAUAUGAAAAUACUACGCGUCAUUGGUUUGGGCACUUCCGGGUUGAGACAAUUGAGAAGUAGAGAAGUUGUGUUAGCUCUUACAAGCCUUGGAAAAGAUAAGUCUGUGGAUCGGGGUCCCAGGCAGCCCACAGCUGCGCACUAAAGAAGGGAGCCCAGCAAAGGCUGUAGACGAGCACAAUGACCAGAGUCAUCUUCACUGUCUUGGACAUGGCUGCUGUCGCCUCUCCUCCUCCUCUUUGGCGAGCAGGUGACGCACAGACAGUAAGGGGCGCAGCAGGCUCCGGCAGCAAAUCAAGCUGCACUGCUGCCACAACAAUUCAAAGUUAAAAUCGAAAGACAAUGCAAAAACAACAAAAUCCUUCAUGUCCAUCACCUGUGUUCACAUCCAUGUGAGUAUUGAUGACACAGUGGCGGUUGAUGUUGAUAGCAGGCUGGCAGCUGGAUCCAGUGUUGUUUAAUAUGAUUGGUGGAACAUAAAGAGACAGACUGGACCUUCCUCUUCCUGCCCCUUCUUCUUCUCCUCUUCUUCCUCCUCCUCCUCCUCCUCCUCUCUGGCUGUCUGCUCUGGAAGGACGAAGGGAGGAAGAACGCUGGCGGUGCUCCGACUUCAGAUAAAGAUUGUUCUCAAUCUCCUUGAAGAUGCGCACCUGUUUAUAGUGUUAUAAAAUGAUGUUGCCUAGAACAGGGUUAUUCAACAUGGCCACCCACAGGACCACAUUGUAAAUCCAGUCAGCCCUGACUGAGAGUAUCAAUCAGAACAAGUUAUAAAAUAAUAUACUGUCGCGAUGGUAAUAUUAUGUAGUGAGCUGUAAUCACCCAACAUGGGCAUGCUUGUAGUAUUAAACGUAGUCUCAGUAGGAGCGAAUAAGACAUAGCCGUCAUGUUGUGUGUGUCACGCUUUUGUCUAUUUAGUACAGUGGUUCUUAACCUUGUUGGAUGUACCGAACCCCACCAGUUUCAUAUGCGCAUUCACCGAACCCUUCUUUAGUGAAAAAUAAAUAUAUAUAUAUAUAUUUUUUUCAAAUUCAAGCCAAAGUUGCAUGUUUUCGGUAACACUUUAGUAUGGGGAACAUAUUCUAAGUAGCAAAGACUUAAGUUGGAGUUUUUUGGACACUAGGGGAACAUAGUCCAAGUAACAAAGACUUAAUUUAGAGUUAUUUGGUUAGGGUUAGAGGGUUAGGGUUAUAAUAAGUCCAUGCCGAAUAAGGAAUUAAUAAGUACUUAAUAUUGACUACUUAAGAGCCAAUAUGUUACUAAUUUGCAUGUGAAUAAGCAACUAAUUAAUGGUGAAUGUUCCCCAUACUAAAGUGUUACCAUGUUUUUUCACUGGUGCACAAAAUGAACUGUGCAUGAACAUCACCUUGUUCUAAGAACAAAACCAACACAGUGCAUGAACUCAAAACAAAUUACACACCUGCAAAUCAGUGUGGCUUCUGCUGUUGCCGUAUCCGUAAUACGCCGAUAGGGAGAAGUUUUUAUUUACACGAGGAGUCGGGUGUGUAUGACCUCCGCCGAACCCCUGAGCCCGACACACCGAACCCCUAGGUUUCGAUCGAACCCAGGUUAAGAACCACUGAUUUAGUACAACAGUGCUAUUUGUGAACACAAAUAAAAGGCUGACUUGUUCAAAGACAGUCUACCGCCAUCAUAUCGGCAAUGUUAUUACAAUACACUUUAAUUCAAUCUGCCAGAAAACAUUUAUUUAGGUAGAAAUAUCACAGAAUAACAUAAAAAAAACAUCUUUGACAAAGCAUGUUAGACAAUUUUUCAUUGUUUUGUUGGUUUUGCAAAAAGACUUGACAUAUUUUGAAAACAAUUCUCCCAUUAAAGUGACUUUAGACUUA